GACGAACGCUGGCGGCGUGCUUAACACAUGCAAGUCGAACGGAAAGGCCCUGCUUGCGUGGUGUUCUCGUGUGGAACGCGGGUGUAACACACGGGAGUACUGCGCUCCACAUCGUGGUAAACCUUCAGGACACGGUGGAUUAUAGCAGAUGGGCGAUCCUGCUGCAUGGGGGGGGAUGGAAUGUUUGGGCGGUUGGGGACGGACUCGCGGCUUGUCAGCUUGUUGGUGGGGUAGUGGCUUACCAAGGCGUGGAUGGGUGGCCGGCCUGAGAGGGUGACCGGCCACAUUGGGACUGGGUUACGGCCCAGACUCCUACGGGAGGCAGCAGUGGGGAAUAUUGCACAAGGGGCGAAAGCCGGUGGCAGCAACGCCGCGUGCGGGAUACCGGCCUUCGGGUGGUAAACCGCUUUGGCCGGUGACGAAGCGUGAGUGACGGUAAUUGGUAAAGAAGCACCGGCUAACUACGUG
rnacentral:rRNA from 1 species